GGGAAAAUCACAUAGUAUAAGAUAUUUAAGUUGUCCAAAAUACGUGAAAAUAUAUACAAAUAGUCAAAAUUAAUAAAGUAAUAUAACAUUAUUAAUAUAAAUUAUGCAUACAAAUUAUAAAUUAAUUUAAAAUUUAAAAUAACUAACAAUCAAUUAUAGUAUAUUUAUUUUAUAAAUAUUUGUACAAGUGCAUGAGCACGGGAAAAUCACAUAGUAUAAGAUAUUUAGUUGUCCAAAAUACUUGAAAAUAUAUACAAAUGGUCAAAAUUAAAAGUGUAAAAUAGCUAAACAAUUCUAAAACACCAAAAAUAUUUGAAAUAUCUAUUGAUUUUCUAUCCAAAUAUUCAAGCCAAACUAAUUUUAUAUUAAGUUUGAGUACUUUAGCAUAUGUUAUUCAGAGUUAUACGUAAAAUAUAAUUUUGUUUUAAAAUUUUGAGAAAUUUGAAGUAUAUAGUGUCACGAUGCGCUUGGUCUUCUUGUUGUUGAUGCUUCUCCCUUGAGAGUCAGAGAGAAGAAGAAGAAGCGGCGAGAGUCAAUUGACUGACUGUUCACCAUGACUCAAGUGGGUCCAUGUCUAAACGAUGUCAUUUUGAGAUCUUCAGGCUCUUUUUUUUCGAGUAAAUUCCAAAUACUAAAAGAAGGCAUAAAUUAGAGAUCUGCCGGAACAGUAAAAAUAUGGACCGAAUAAUGAUCCAGAUUGUGCCGAAAAUACUGAUAAGUCUUUUUGAGAAAAAAUGAUUAUACACAGUUCAUAGACGAAAGAAUGAUUCGAUAGGGGUAUUAAAGUCUUUAUAAAUUGUGAAAUGGUAUUUGCCUAAAUUGGCGAUAAGUU
rnacentral:lncRNA from 1 species